GGAGGGUACAGCUCAAGUGGCAGAGCGCAUGCUUAGCAUGCACGAGGUCCUGGGUUCAAUCCCCAGCAUCUCCA
rnacentral:tRNA from 1 species